UACAGAGGGUGCGAGCGUUAAUCGGAAUUACUGGGCGUAAAGCGCGCGUAGGCGGCUUUGCAAGUCGGGUGUGAAAUCCCCGGGCUCAACCUGGGAACUGCAUUUGUGACUGCAAGGCUGGAGUGCGGCAGAGGGGGAUGGAAUUCCGCGUGUAGCAGUGAAAUGCGUAGAUAUGCGGAGGAACACCGAUGGCGAAGGCAAUCCCCUGGGCCUGCACUGACGCUCAUGCACGAAAGCGUGGGGAGCAAACAGG
rnacentral:rRNA from 1 species